rnacentral:rRNA from 1 species
UACGGGGGGAGCAAGCGUUGUUCGGAUUUACUGGGCGUAAAGGGCGCGUAGGCGGCCAGCACAAGUCAGUUGUGAAAUCUCCGAGCUUAACUCGGAAAGGUCAACUGAUACUGUGCGGCUAGAGUGCAGAAGGGGCAACUGGAAUUCUUGGUGUAGCGGUGAAAUGCGUAGAUAUCAGGAAGAACACCAAUGGCGAAGGCAGCUCUCUGGGACGGUACUGACGCUGAGACGCGAAAAGCGUGGGGGAGCGAACAGG